rnacentral:tRNA from 1 species
GCCCUCGUGGUCUAGCUGGAUAUGACGUCAGCCUGCGGAGCUGAAGAUCCCGAGUUCGAAUCUCGGCGAGGGCG